ensembl:lncRNA
UAGUUUAUGUUCUCCUUUCAUCAGCCUGAAGUGUAAGGCCAUUAUGGUGUCCAAGAUCUGUAAACUAACAGACAACGUUAUUCAUUAGCACACCCUGAGAUUGAUGCAUGUCUUGCCCUGCUUCCUUAACCCACACAUCUGAAUCAACAUCUUUAAUGGAUUGCAUUAUGAACCACUCCAUUGUUAGUGAGCUGAACCUUAUUCACUAGACAGAUCUUAUCCACCAGACAGAUCUUAUUCACCAGACAGGUCUUAUCCACCAGACAGAUCUUAUCCACCAGACAGGACUUAUCCACCAGACAGAUCUUAUCCACCAGACAGAUAUUAUCCACCAGACAGAUAUUAUCCAUCAGACAGCUCUUAUCCACCAGACAGUUAUUAUCCACCAAACAGAGCUUAUCCACCAGACAGAUCUUAUCCACCAGACAGAUCUUAUCCACCAGACAGAUCUUAUCCACCAGACAGAUCUUAUCCACCAGACAGAUAUUAUUCACCAGACAGCUCUUAUCCAUCAGACCGAUCUUAUCCACCAGACAGGUAUUAUCCACCAGACAGGUCUUAUCCACCAGACAGGUCUUAUCCACCAGACAGGUCUUAUCCACCAGACAGGUCUUAUCCACCAGACAGGACUUAUCCACCAGACAGAUUUAACCCACCAGACAGGACUUAUCCACCAGACAGGUAUUAUCCACCAGACAGAUAUUAUCCACCAGACAGAUAUUAUCCACCAGACAGAUAUUAUCCACCAGACAGAUAUUAUUCACCAGACAGCUCUUAUUCACCCGACAGCUCUUAUCCACCAGACAGUUAAUAUCUACCAGACAGAUAUUAUUCACCAGACAGAUCUUAUCCACCAGACAGAUCUUAUCCACCAGACAGAUCUUAUCCACCAGACAGGUCUUAUCCACCAGACAGCUCUUAUCCACCAGACAGCUUUUAUCCACCAGACAGCUCUUAUCCACCAGACAGCUCUUAUCCACCAGACAGUUGUUAUCCACCAGACAGCUCUUAUCCACCAGACAGUUAUUAUCCACCAGACAGAUAUUAUCCACCAGACAGAUAUUAUCCACCAGGCAAGUCUUACCCACCAGACAGAUUUGACCCACUAGACAGGACUUAUCCACCAGACAGAUCUUAUCCACCAGACAGCUCUUAUCCACCAGACAGCUCUUAUCCACCAGACAUCUCUUAUCCACCAGACAGUUGUUAUCCACCAGACAGCUCUUAUCCACCAGACAGCACUUAUCCACCAGACAGUUAUUAUCCACCAGACAGGUGUUAUCCACCAGACAGGUGUUAUUCACCAGACAGGUAUUAUUAAUCAACAUCUUCCUUAACCCACACAUCUGAAUCAACAUCUUUAAUGGAUUGCAUUAUGAACCACUCCAUUGUUAGUGAGCUGAACCUUAUUCACCAGACAUAUAUUAUCCACCAGACAGAUCUUAUUCACCAGACAGGUCUUAUCCACCAGACAGAUAUUAUCCACCAGAAAGAUCGUAUUCACCAGACAGGUCUUAUCCACCAGACAGGACUUAUCCACCAGACAGGUCUUAUCCACCAGACAGAUAUUAUUCACCAGACAGGUCUUAUCCACCAGACAGAUAUUAUUCACCAGACAGUUAUUAUCCACCAGACAGCUCUUAUUCACCACCACCAGACAAAUGUGAUGUAACAUGUUGUUUUCCAAAAAAAAUGAUCUUUACCAACUUUGUUGAAUGAGUCAUCCUGUUUUUCCUCCACUCCUCCAUCUCUUUCUCUCUCCUUAUGUUUUCUUUUUGUUCUCUCACUUUCUCAAUCACUCUUUCUGCACCCGUCUGUCCACCUUGAUAAGUCUUUCAGAGUAUUCGUGUGUGAGUGUGUGUGUGUAAGAAAGGCAUAGCGAGAGAGACAGAGAAAGGGUGGGUGACAGUGCUCCAUCUCCCUGUGUGCCAGAGCAGCAGAGUGGCAGGUUGCCUAGCCGUGGGGCCUCUAAUGAAGAGAGUCUGUGUGCUUUAUCGAUUGACUCAGUCACCUGAUGCGUGGCUGGGCCCGUUAAUGGCCUAAUGGGAUGACACACUGAGAGAGGAAAUACCAAGGGGAGCACCAGGUGUGUGUGUGUACUGUGUAUGUAUAGUGUGUGUUUGUGUGUGUGUACUAUAAGAGUGUGUUUGUGUGGGUAUAGGCUUAUUUGUGCAUGAUUGUGUAUCUGUAUGUCAUCACUGCCUCUACGUAAAAAAAGAGACAGGGUUUAAUUGGUGUUACAGUGAAGUAUUUGGAUAUCACACUAUUGGCCACUGUGUUAGAGCUGAUAUCAGCAGCAUAUUGCAGGUACUUCCAUCCACACACCUCAUUAUGUCUCUCCUCCUCUGUCCGUAGGUUGUUGGUUUUGGUUGCGUAAUACAUCUUAAGCCUGCCCAUUAAAUAUGAAUGAACAACUGAUUUUCUCAUCCAUCUUUCAUGACUUUCAUUUGUUGAGCUAUUUGCCUCCAAAAAAUAUUGUGUUGGAUGUUCUUUUCGCGAUUUCUGAAUCAGCGUUUUCUCACAGCACCUUGUUCAGUCUACUGAAAAAAAUAAAUGUACUGUGACUUGUUUUUCUACCGCUGUCGUGCACUGGGCUCUAGCCCGUGAGCCCAAAUGGUGUUCUUGUUAAUGGUACAUGAUAGAGUCAUCCUAGAUUCUGAUCACAUGACCCUCAUGUCAUGUCUACGUGUGCAUAUCUGAGGGUCUUUGUGUGUAUUAUGUCUGAGCGUAUAUGUGUGUGGUGGUCAUAGCCAGUGAUCUAGGCAGCAGUAUGUCUUCUGUUGCUCCAAUUUAUACUGACAUUAUUAACAUGUUACAGAAUGGAAUAAUAACAUCAUAAAAAAUGCUUUUUAGAGUAUAUGCCAUAUGGGGAUAUUCAUGUCGGUAUAGAGUACAUACAGUAGCCUACAUAUGAACGUCCCAACUGUGUUAGCCCGUUGAGCUAAAGCCUAGGCAUUGGCUCUGGCUCUCACUUCACCAAAAGACCCCUUGACUUUUGCCACAUUUUGUUAUGUUACAGCCUUAUUCUAAAAUGGAUCAAAUCUAAAAUUUCCCUCAUCAAUCUACACACAAUACCCCAUAAUGACAAAGUGAAUACAGGUUUUGUCAUUUGUAAAACAACCAAACAACAGAAAUGCCUUAUUUACAUACGUUUUCAGACUCUUUCCUAUGAGACUGUAAAUUGAGCUCAGGUGCAUCCUGUUUCCAUUGAUCAUCCUUGAGAUGUUUCUACAAGUAGAUUUGAGUCCACCUCUGGUAAAUUCAAUUGAUUGGACAUGAUUUGGAAAGGCACACACCUAUCUAUGUAAGGUCCCACAGUUGACAGUGCAUGUCAGACCAAAAACCAAGCAAUGAGGUCGAAGGAAUUGACGGUGGAGCUCCGAGACAGGAUUGUGUUGAGGCACAGAUCUGGGGAAGGGUUCCCAAAAAUGUCUGCAGCAUUGAAGGUCCCCAAGAACACAGUGGCCUCCAUCAUUCUUAAAUGAUCAAGGCCCUUCUCCCCCGAUUGCUCAGUUUGAGCUGGCCACCCGGCCAAACUGAGCAAUCGGGGGAGAAGGGCCUCGAUCAGGGAGGUUACCCUGAAACCAAUGGUCACUCUGACAGAGCUCCAGAGUUCCUCUGUGGAGUUGGGAGAACCUUCCAGAAGGACAACCAUCUCUGCACCACUCCACCAAUCAGGCAAUUAUGGUAGAGUGGCUAGAAGGAAGCUACUCCUCAG